UACGAAGGGGGCUAGCGUUGCUCGGAAUCACUGGGCGUAAAGCGCACGUAGGCGGAUCGUUAAGUCAGGGGUGAAAUCCUGGAGCUCAACUCCAGAACUGCCUUUGAUACUGGCGAUCUUGAGUUCGGGAGAGGUGAGUGGAACUGCGAGUGUAGAGGUGAAAUUCGUAGAUAUUCGGAAGAACACCAGUGGCGAAGGCGGCUCACUGGUCCGGUACUGACGCUGAUGUGCGAAAGCGUGGGGAGCAAACAGG
rnacentral:rRNA from 1 species